rnacentral:rRNA from 1 species
UACAGAGGUCUCAAGCGUUGUUCGGAUUCAUUGGGCGUAAAGGGUGCGUAGGCGGCGCGGUAAGUCGGGUGUGAAAGCCCUCAGCUUAACUGAGGAAGUGCGCCCGAAACUGCAGAGCUUGAGUACCGGAGAGGGUGGCGGAAUUCCCCAAGUAGAGGUGAAAUUCGUAGAUAUGGGGAGGAACACCGGUGGCGAAGGCGGCCACCUGGACGGAUACUGACGCUGAGACGCGAAAGCGUGGGUAGCAAACAGG